AGAGUUUGAUCCUGGCUCAGGAUGAACGCUAGCGGCAGGCUUAAUACAUGCAAGUCGAACGGUUACAGCAAUGUGACGAGUGGCGCACGGGUGAGUAACGCGUACAUAACAUACCUUUAACUGGCGAAUAGCCUUGGGAAACUGAGAGUAAUACGCCAUAACAUUGUAGCUUGGCAUCAGGCAGCAAUUAAAGUUCCGGCGGUUAGAGAUUGAUGUGCGUUGGAUUAGAUAGUUGGUGAGGUAACGGCUCACCAAGUCAACGACCCAUAGGGGGCGUGAGAGCGUGGUCCCCCACACGAGUACUGAGACACGGACCCGACUCCUACGGGAGGCAGCAGUAAGGAAUAUUGGUCAAUGGGGGCAACCCUGAACCAGCCAUGCCGCGUGCGGGAUGAAGGCGUUCUGCGUCGUAAACCGCUUUUAGAGGGGAAUAAAUCCCGAUACGUGUAUCGGACUGAAGGUACCCUCGGAAUAAGCACCGGCUAACUCCGUGCCAGCAGCCGCGGUAAUACGGAGGGUGCAAGCGUUAUCCGGAAUCACUGGGUUUAAAGGGUGCGUAGGCGGUUUUGUAAGUCG
rnacentral:rRNA from 1 species